rnacentral:rRNA from 1 species
UACGAAGGGGCUAGCGUUGUUCGGAAUUACUGGGCGUAAAGCGCGUGUAGGCGGGUCUUUAAGUCAGGGGUGAAAUGCCAAGGCUCAACCUUGGAACUGCCUUUGAUACUGGAGAUCUUGAGUCCGGGAGAGGUGGGUGGAACUGCGAGUGUAGAGGUGAAAUUCGUAGAUAUUCGCAAGAACACCAGUGGCGAAGGCGGCUCACUGGCCCGGUACUGACGCUGAGGUGCGAAAGCGUGGGGGAGCAAACAGG